rnacentral:rRNA from 1 species
AGCCUAACACGAUAUGCGGUUCACCGCAAGCAUCUAACGUGAACGAAAUGUGAAGGAGAAGGAUGGGGAUGCGUCUGAUUAGCUUGUUGGCGGGGUAACGGCCCACCAAGGCGACGAUCAGUAGGGGUUCUGAGAGGAAGGUCCCCCACAUUGGAACUGAGACACGGUCCAAACUCCUACGGGAGGCAGCAGUGAGGAAUAUUGGUCAAUGGACGAGAGUCUGAACCAGCCAAGUAGCGUGCAGGAUGACGGCCCUAUGGGUUGUAAACUGCUUUUAUAGGGGGAUAAAGUGUGCCACGUGUGGCAUAUUGCAGGUGCCCUAUGAAUAAGGACCGGCUAAUUCCGUGCCAGCAGCCGCGGUAAUACGGAAGGUCCGGGCGUUAUCCGGAUUUAUUGGGUUUAAAGGGAGCGUAGGCCGUCUUAUAAGCGUGUUGUGAAAUGUCGGGGCUCAACCUGGGCAUUGCAGCGCGAACUGUGAGACUUGAGUGCGCAGGAAGUAGGCGGAAUUCGUCGUGUAGCGGUGAAAUGCUUAGAUAUGACGAAGAACUCCGAUUGCGAAGGCAGCCUGCUGUAGCGCAACUGACGCUGAAGCUCGAAAGCGUGGGUAUCGAACCGG